GUUUGAUCCUGGCUCAGGAUGAACGCUGACAGAAUGCUUAACACAUGCAAGUCUUUGGCGAAGCUGUGCUUGCACAGCCUAGCCAAGGCGGACGGGUGAGUAACGCGUAAGGAACUUGCCCUGCAGUCAGGGAUAACAGACGGAAACGACUGAUAAGACCUGGUAAAGUCAGGCGGACUCAUGUCCAGCCUGAUGAAAAGAGAUGCUGCAGGAGAGCCUUGCGUCCUAUUAGCUUGUUGGUGGGGUA
rnacentral:rRNA from 1 species